AGUGAAGCGGCAAAAGCUCAAAUUUGAAAUCGGCCACCAGGUCGAGUUGUAAUUUGUAGAUUGUAUCUUGAGAGCGGAUUAAAGUCUGUUGGAACACAGCGCCUUAGAGGGUGACAGCCCCGUAAAAUCUAUUCUCAUUGUAAGAUACUUUCGAAGAGUCGAGUUGUUUGGGAAU
rnacentral:rRNA from 1 species